AUCGCAUCUCGGCCUUUUGGCCAAGAUCAAAGUGUAGUAUCUGUUCUUUUCAGCUUAAACUUGGUGUACAGAAUUAAUUCAUUAUGCGUGGCUCUUGUUUUCAGUGGCUUAAGCCUCCUGGUUGACGAGAUACACCGCAUCUGACAAUCAUCUGAUGCCACAUUCUGUAUUUUUGAAGCCUUC